rnacentral:rRNA from 1 species
GACGAACGCUGGCGGCGUGCUUAACACAUGCAAGUCGAACGGAAAGGCCCUGCUUUUGUGGGGUGCUCGAGUGGCGAACGGGUGAGUAACACGUGAGUAACCUGCCCUUGACUUUGGGAUAACUUCAGGAAACUGGGGCUAAUACCGGAUAGGAGCUCCUGCUGCAUGGUGGGGGUUGGAAAGUUUCGGCGGUUGGGGAUGGACUCGCGGCUUAUCAGCUUGUUGGUGGGGGAGUGGCUUACCAAGGCUUUGACGGGUAGCCGGCCUGAGAGGGUGACCGGCCACAUUGGGACUGAGAUACGGCCCAGACUGCUACGGGAGGCAGCAGUGGGGAAUAUUGCACAAUGGGCGGAAGCCUGAUGCAGCAACGCUGCGUUCGGGAUGACGGCCUUCUGGUUGUAAACCGCUUUCGGCUGUGACGAAGCGUGAGUGACGGUAAUGGGUGAAGAAGCACCGGCUAACUACGUG